CCCUCAUUUUAUUCCGAAAAACUUCUAAAAAUCGGUGGGUGGGGUUAGCUAACCCCACCUCAAAUGGGUUAUCCCGGGUUAACUAACCCCACCUCAAAUGGGUUAUCCCGGAUUAACUAACCCCACCUCACCCCACCAAACCCCAACCAAAUAUUAUUUUCUAUUCAUAAUAACCUACUAUCUUUCUUAUCCCACCUAAUUCAACCAAACACUAUUUUUCACUAUUCUGGACUAACUUUAACCCCCAACCAAACACAAAAAUACUUUGACCCCACCUUAACCUGAACUUAACCCUAUCCCUGAAAUAACUAUUUUUUCCUUAACCCCGAACUAAACGGGUUAUUAUAGGCAUAUGUAUAUCAAAUUUAAAGAAUAAAACUAUAGUGUUACAAAUUAGAAUUGAUGAUCGAAAGAGUUAAACUUUAUCGAAAAUAAAGUGAUGGAUCAGAACUUAGAGAAACUUAUGAUUCUGUAGAAAAGUAUUGAACUUAUUUUAGAUUAUCUGAGAAGUCACGAACUUAAUUAUUUACGUAAAAUUUAUUCUUAUGAUUAUUCUUUCCUUAUAAGAUA
rnacentral:lncRNA from 1 species